CCUACGGGGGGCAGCAGUGGGGGAUAUUGCACAAUGGGGGAAACCCUGAUGCAGCGACGCCGCGUGUGGGAAGACGGUCCUCUGGAUUGUAAACCACUGUCCCCAGGGACGAAGAUGACGGUACCUGGGGAGGAAGCUCCGGCUAACUACGUGCCAGCAGCCGCGGUAAUACGUAGGGAGCGAGCGUUGUCCGGAAUUACUGGGUGUAAGGGGAGCGUAGGCGGGACGGCAAGUUGGGUGUAAAAUCUACCGGCUCAACCGGUGGCCGCACUCAAAACUGCAGUUCUUGAGUGAAGUAGAGGCAGGCGGAAUUCCUAGUGUAGCGGUGAAAUGCGUAGAUAUUAGGAGGAACACCAGUGGCGAAGGCGGCCUGCUGGGCUUUUACUGACGUUGAGGCACGAAAGCGUGGGGAGCAAACAGGAUUAGAUACCCCUGUAGUC
rnacentral:rRNA from 1 species